rnacentral:lncRNA from 1 species
CAGACCAGGCCCGCAGUAGGAACGGCCGAACGGCCUGCGCCCCGGUGGUGCCCCGCGCGCGCGCCCCGAAUCCCUGCCUGCCUCCCUCACACGCGGGGAGUUGCUGCGAAUGCUGACUACCAGCUGUGGGCCCCUGCCCUCUGCCUCCUUCUCCCAGAAGAGUCCUCUGUGCCGUUCUGUCUCCCGGGCUGGAGAGGUUAGACACUGAGCAACAGAUUGUAAGUUCAGGAACAAGAUUCUUCUUCUUAACAAAGCCAUUGUCCCAGGUGCCUCUGCCCUGAGACCUGUCCUGGCUUGGGCAGUUAGAACAAGGACAAACUCCGGAGUGCUCAGCUCAGCAAGCACCUUGCAGAGCCCAGGCCUGGAGUAAAAGGAGUCUACCCACACACACCAAGGAACUCAGCCUUGCCUGUAGCCAGUGGAGGGCAGAGCAGGGCAGGUGGCAUUCUCCACCUACGCUGUUCCCAGGAACCCUGAGGCCUUCACUCACUGGUCAUCUAUCCUGUGACCCUGCCUGGCAGUGGCUAAAGACUUCCUGGAAGUAAAAACUGCCUUGACCCUCGCUUGAAAAUCGUUUCCCCAAAUGCAGCCAUGUGGGAAGAUCAGCUCUGCCAAAACACUUGGGAAGGUUCCGGUAAGUUCCAGUAGACAAGGGAAAGACAAAGUAUUUAUGGCUCUCAGGGUGGUAUCGUCUUGGUCCUAGCUUGACUACAGUUCUUUACUUCUCUGCAGUGUGUAAGUGUGUCUACAUUUAUUCUCACCUCCCUCUAAUCAGAAUGUGAUCUAAUAAAGAACACUUCCAUGUUUUCAUUUAAUCUCCGAUACCCGGUAUCUUCAUUUAGUAGUCUAAAGCCUGUGUUUACGUACAGACUUCUA